rnacentral:lncRNA from 1 species
AAUGAAUGAUUUGUUAGAAAUAUGAUGUGAAUGAAACUCAAAAUGGGUUGCAUUUAACAACUCCCAAAGGAGUUGUUAAUUAGCUUAAAUGGCAGCCAUAAAUAGUUUUAAAGGAAACAGCUCCUAAUGACUGUUAUAAUGGCAGCUAUAAACACCCUAAUGAUGGGGGUUUUAUGGUUGGGAGUUUCAUAUUUUGAAGAGUCAUUAUUUCUCCUAUAAAUUGAUAGAUUAUGGUUAGGAGAAGAUAUGAUAAAAAGACCAACAAAUACAUAUGCAUUUGAGUUCUUUGAGAGAAAGAGAGAUAGACCCUUUAUCAGUUCGUCAAGGUCAAGGCUGCGUCGGAGAUGUUCCGAUGUAAGUGGUUCAGCCAUUUUAUCCUGGGAAGAAGAUGCCGGCAAAAACCUAUAAUACCAUCGGUAGGCGGCGAAUCUUGCUCAAGGAGACUGCGAAAGCAGGAGUUGACCUAAUUUACUAUUUGUAUCUUUAAUGUUAGGUUUUGUAUUUUAAUUUCUGCAUUUCGUUUAUGUAAUUUCAAUUUAUUACAAAUGAAUAAAAUUAUUAUUUAGAAUUCUGUAUUUGCCGAAUCAAAUCUUUCCCAACAUGAUGUUCUUUGCUAGCUUCUCUGAAAAAAUUAUGCUAAUCUGAACAAUAUGCACUUUGAAUGUUGAAUGAAAAAGUCGACUGAAAGUUCAUUGGUUUUUGUCCUGUACUUUUCUGAAAGCAACGAAAUGAAGUUGCGAAGCAUUGGAAGCAUUUUUAUUUUUUACACUUCUUUUUCGUGGUUCUUCGAAUACAGAAAGCAAGGUAAAAGGAUUCCUCUCCAAUGUCAACGUGACAACGCCUUUAUGGCGUGUCCACACUUUAUAUGCAUGCCAAAUUUAUUUAUUUAUUUUUGUAAUUAGUCACAGUAGCUAACAUUUCCAUACUUUUGUCUGUAAUAUUUUCAUGCACACAUCUCACGUACUCAUUACUAGAAUAAUAUAUAACUAACACAUUAAAAAAUCGUAGCAAAAAUUACAAAAAUACAUAACAAAUGACAUGAACCACAACUACAUAAUAUAUAAAUGAACAACAAAUGUCAUAGUUAUUCAUUUUUUUAGGUUCCACAUCGAUUCAUAAUUAAUUACAAUACAAAAUAUCGUAACAUUUCUAUUUCUAUCUAUCUAUCUAUCUAUCUAUCUAUCUAUCUAUCUAUAUAUAUAUACUCCAUUUUGUAAAUGGGUUGUAAUCCUGUAAGCAGCUCGAAGAAAAGAGAGGAGUUGAUUCCAUGAUAAAUUCAGUGGAGUACGGGUCAUGGGAACAAACAAACUUUAUUCUGCUGUUGGGCAUCACAUCUUUCAAUUUUGUAAGGCUGAAGCUCCAUCGAAUCUCAGAUUUCGAAUGGAGAUCAGAGAGAGAGAGAGAGAGAGCAGCAGGUUCAUUUCCAAAGUAAAGUGAUUCCUCCAUCAUGCAUUCACGUAUACUCCCAUCCAGUACGUACCCUCCUCUCGAUCUACUAUAGUGUAACUGUGUAGCAUUAAAUUUGCAGCAACAAGAGAAGACAAAAUGGUAGCGAUGUUUGCAACCUACUGCGGCAUGGAUUUGGGUCAUCAGCAUCAAUUUGCAAUUCACCACAGUUUUGACUUAUAGCACACCUCAGCAUCGAUUUGUAGGAGCUCCCUCCAUGACAUCAUCGGUGGUUUGUGGUGGAGCAUGCAACUGGGUGGGCAUGUUUUGGUAGACCGAGGGAGAGGAUUUAAACUCCAAUCAAAGGCAUAACCGCAUAGGAAAGCGGGAUCGAGUGAUGCCACCAGAUCCCGAAUGAAAAGGACUUUUGAUAGGUAAUGAAAUUUGGCACAUGAAUAGGAGAAAAGUUUUGGGUAACUAAACUAGUAAUACAUGAAAAGGACCGAAUACUAUCGGCAAGGGCUCCUUUAUCCCCUUCUUCAGCCCCUAAAAAUUGAAUGAAGAAAAUGAAACAAAUACACCAUGGACGACUGGCACAGUUAUGAUGUCACCUAAACACGGAUAGAGAGGUUUGAGAUAAUUUAAGAACACAGGCAGAUCAUAUCAUACGUGUGUUUGUGUGGACAUAUCAGGACCGGCUUACAGUGGAUGUUCCAACAACAAAUAGAUCUAUAUGCACUUGCUAUCAGAAAAGAACAAAAACUGGCUGUACAAAGUAUAUUUUCUAUUCAAUUUUACAGUCUUUGUCAUACAAUGAAUCCUAAGUAUUGUUUACAAUCAUCCAAAUAAUGAAGAUCACCUUCCUGUUCAAGAUUGCCACACGUUGUCAACCUACUCAAAUUAUGUCAUCACUGUAGGAGAUAAAAAGUACAUGCUGCAAGACUUCCAAGUCCAUGAGAAAUAAGGACAUUUGGUGAAGAAUUUGUACUUCAUGUGUUAGUAACCAGCAAGCCAAUAAAUCGGGUGUUUUUUAAAUAUAUGGGAAGUUCUAAGAAUAGCUGCACAGCAUCUGUUGUAUUUAGUUGGUGAAACAGUCCAGGGAUUGCGUAAGAGA